GCCCGUCCCCGCCGAGGGGCCUGUGGCCAGCGGGGCCUGUGGCCAGCGGGGCUGCCGAGGUGAGGAGGAAAGAGCCAAAAGAAGGGCUAGGAAGGGCUUGUGUCUGCCCCGGGGCCCCUUCCCGCCGCGAAGGGGCUCCUUUGGGGUUGCAGGGGGAGACCCUGAGGGGAAGGGAGAUCAAGAACCUCUGACACGACCACCAGAGGAAGGUCCUGCAACUACACACGUCUUGGCAAAGAGCCCCCGUGCUGCUGACAGCUCAAAAUUUACGUCAUGGAAAGCUCUCCAGCUUUCCUCAGACUGAAGUAAUGCCAUCAGGUAGAUGGCAGCUGGCAGUAACCCACAUCAGCAAAAAUCAGAAAAGCUGCUGCGGGGAUCACAGAAAAGAGCAUGGACCAGUACAGCACCAUGGCAGAUGGGUAUCAGCUAUCACAGACAGGUCAUAAACUUGGGCACAUAUUUAUGCAGCAAUGCCGAGAGCCAGCACCAAACAUCAGUGAGCAAGUGCAUGGUCUUG